GAUGAAGAACGUAGCGAAAUGCGAUACGUAGUGUGAAUUGCAGAAUCCAGUGAAUCAUCGAAUCUUUGAACGCACAUUGCACCUCUCGGUAUUCCGGGAGGUAUGCCUGUUCGAGCGUCAUUUGUACCCUCAAGCUCUGCUUGGUGUUGGGUGUUUGUUCCGCCUCUGUGUGUGAACUCGCCUCAAAACAAUUGGCAGCCGGCGUACUUGUUUCGGAGCGCAGCACAUUUUGCGAUCCAGAUCAACGUACAGCGGCAUCCAAGAAGCCUUAUUUAACGCUCUUGACCUCGGAUCAGGUAGGGAUACCCGCUGAACUUAAGCAUAUCAAUAAGCGGAGGA
rnacentral:misc_RNA from 1 species